UGCCGGUUUUUACUUCUUGCAGGUCCCAGGUUCGAUUCUUCAUCACUGGCGGAUCCAGCACCUGGCGAGCACCCGCCGCCGUGCGUGCUGGAUUCGCCGACAGCCAUUUUUUUUGUUUGAGAAUAGAUGAAUUUUUAGGUUAUAUUUCUGAUUAUCAUUUUCCAUUCAAUCAUUCCCUCUGGCCAAGUUGGUGAGUGCCGAUUUUUACUUCUUGCAGGUCCCAGGUUCGAUUCUUCAUCACCGGCGGAUCCAGCACCUGGCGAGCACCCGCGGCCGAACGUGCUGGAUCCGCCGGCAGCCAUUUUUUUUGUUUGAGAAGAGAUGAAUUUUUAGGUUGUAUUUCUGAUUAUCAUUUUCCAUUCAAUCAUUCCCUCUAGCCAAGUUGGUGAGUGCCGAUUUUUACUUCUUGCAGGUCCCAGGUUCGAUUCUUCAUCACUGGCGGAUCCAGCACCUGGCGAGCACCCGCGGUCGCGUGUGCUGGAUCCGCCGGCAGCCAUUUUUUUUGUUUGAGAAUAGAUGAAUUUUUAGGUUAUAU
rnacentral:lncRNA from 1 species